rnacentral:rRNA from 1 species
UACGUAGGUGACAAGCGUUGUCCGGAUUUACUGGGCGUAAAGAGCGCGCAGGCGGUCGUUCAAGUCGAGUGUGAAAGCCUCCGGCUCAACUGGGGAGGGUCAUUCGAUACUGAUCGACUCGAAGGCAGGAGAGGGAAGUGGAAUUCCCGGUGUAGUGGUGAAAUGCGUAGAUAUCGGGAGGAACACCAGUGGCGAAGGCGGCCCUCUGGUCCAGUACUGACACUCAAGUGCGAAAGCGUGGGGAGCAAACAGG